AACGAACGCUGGCGGCAUGCCUAACACAUGCAAGUCGAACGAAGCCUUCGGGCUUAGUGGCGCACGGGUGCGUAACGCGUGGGAAUCUGCCCCUUGCUUCGGAAUAACAGUUAGAAAUGACUGCUAAUACUGGAUGAAGUCUUCGGACCAAAGAUUUAUCGGCAAGGGAUGAGCCCGCGUAGGAUUAGGUAGUUGGUGGGGUAAAGGCCUACCAAGCCGACGAUCCUUAGCUGGUCUGAGAGGAUGAUCAGCCACACUGGGACUGAGACACGGCCCAGACUCCUACGGGAGGCAGCAGUGGGGAAUAUUGGACAAUGGACGCAAGUCUGAUCCAGCAAUGCCGCGUGAGUGAUGAAGGCCUUAGGGUUGUAAAGCUCUUUUACCAGGGAUGAUAAUGACAGUACCUGGAGAAUAAGCUCCGGCUAACUCCGUG
rnacentral:rRNA from 1 species